rnacentral:lncRNA from 1 species
CUCUUUCUAAGUGGACCUGACACUGGACCCAGACACAGCUCACCCGGCUCUGCUGCUGUCCCCUGAUCGCCGUGGAGUCCGCUUGGCAGAACGUCGGCAGGAGGUUCCUGAACAUUCCAAGCGCUUUUCAGCAGACUGCUGUGUACUAGGGGCCCAGGGCUUCCGCUCGGGCCGGCACUACUGGGAGGUAGAGGUGGGUGGGCGGCGGGGCUGGGCAGUGGGUGCUGCCCGUGAAUCAACCCAUCAUAAAGAAAAAGUGGGCUCUGGGGGGUCCUCUGUUAGCAGUGGGGAUGCCAGCUCCUCACGCCAUCACCAUCGCCGCCGCCGGCUCCAUCUGCCUCAGCAGCUCCUGCUUCAGCGGGAAGUGUGGUGCGUGGGCACCCACGGCAAACGAUACCAGGCGCAGAGCUCAACAGAGCAGACACUGCUGAGCCCAUGUGAGAAACCACGGCGUUUCGGCGUGUACCUGGACUAUGAGGCUGGGCGCCUGGGCUUCUACAACGCAGAUACCUUAGCUCAUGUACACACCUUCUCAGCUGCCUUUCUUGGCGAGCGUGUUUUUCCUUUCUUCCGGGUACUUUCCAAGGGUACCCGCAUCAAGCUCUGCCCUUGAUCAGCCUGCCACCCGCAGGGGCCCCUCUGGUCACCACUGGGGGGGCGGGUGGUGGUGGAUGGUUGCCCACUGUUUGGGAGCCCAGACUCCUCCCACUGUUUGAGUUGCUUCCUGCUCCCUCUUGUACACAGGCUACUUCUCCCUCUAGGAGCCCAAAAAAAAAAAAAAAAAAAAAACAAAACCCCUCCAGCUCAGCCUUUUCUUACCCUUGUCUGACAGGUCUGCAUGGGUCCCAGUAAUGAACAGCUGCCUGAUAUGACCUUCCCUCCCUGUCUACCUAGCUUGGUCCAGCUCUGGGUCCCACAUGUUGGAGUAUGGAGUGUGUGGAGAUUAUUUAAUGCAACCUUUUCCACCCCUACUCAACCCGUCAUUUCUGAGGCUGGAGGGUUUGGGCAAAACACUCCCAUGUUUUGGUGCAGACCAGCUAAGUUUUAGAGGCUCUGUGGGAAGUCAGACUGGGCAAAAGGGUAGUGCUGUGUAAAGUCUACUUUUCUUGGGGAAGUAGGAAUUCUUAAGCUUUCCUUCCACCCCCAAUUUCUACCUCCAUAGACUGGCCAGAAUUUAGCUUCAGUGAGAUCUGGAAUGGUCAGCAUGACAUCUCUACCAUUACCCAAUAAAUUAUUUUCUCUGUGCAUCUUAGUUUUUUUCGUUAGGUAGGAGCCCAAGUCUUCACUGCCAGGCUCUCUUCCCUUUUCAGUGAGGUUUCUGGCCUCUCCAUGCCUUUUAGUUACAUGUGGUUAGCCCUGUUAGGGGAGCUCGGGACAGGGGUCUGGAUCCUUGGGAGACUGUUGGGUAUAAUCUAUUUUUCUAGUAACCCCUUGCCUUCUGACACAGCAACAGCUUUUGUCCUCUGCUUUGGUGGCUGAGGUCAGUCCAUGUUCUUGGGGAGGGAAAGUGGGUUGUAUUGCAAAAAAUAAAAAAAGUGUUUAUUUGC